rnacentral:rRNA from 1 species
GACGAACGCUGGCGGCGUGCUUAACACAUGCAAGUCGAACGGAAAGGCCCUGCUUUUGUGGGGUGCUCGAGUGGCGAACGGGUGAGUAACACGUGAGUAACCUGCCCUUGACUUUGGGAUAACUUCAGGAAACUGGGGCUAAUACCGGAUAGGAGCUCCUGCUGCAUGGUGGGGGUUGGAAAGUUUCGGCGGUUGGGGAUGGACUCGCGGCUUAUCAGCUUGUUGGUGGGGUAGUGGCUUACCAAGGCUUUGACGGGUAGCCGGCCUGAGAGGGUGACCGGCCACAAUGGGACUGAGAUACGGCCCAGACGCCUACGGGAGGCAGCAGUGGGGAAUAUUGCACAAUGGGCGGAAGCCUGAUGCAGCAACGCCGCGUGCGUGAUGACGGCCUUCGGGUUGGAAACCGCGUUCGCCUGUGACGAAGCGUGAGUGACGGUAAUGGGUAAAGAAGCACCGGCUAACUACGUG